rnacentral:sRNA from 1 species
UGUCGCUGCCCUCUUUUGGGGCGUUUCCUCCCUAGACUUGGGCCGCUUGUUUAUUCAAGCGGCCCUUUUUAUUUGCAUG